rnacentral:rRNA from 1 species
CACGUAGGGCGCGAGCGUUGUCCGGAAUUAUUGGGCGUAAAGAGCUCGUAGGCGGCCUGUUGCGUCCGCUGUGAAAGCCCGGGGCUUAACCCCCGGGGUCUGCAGUGGAUACGGGGCAGGCUAGAGGUAGGUAGGGGAGAAUGGAAUUCCCGGUGUAGCGGUGAAAUGCGCAGAUAUCAGGAGGAACACCGGUGGCGAAGGCGGGUCUCUGGGCAACAACUGACGCUGAGGAGCGAAAGCAUGGGGAGCGAACAGG